AUGUUUCUUCUACUUUGACUAUUAAAAAAGGAUUAAAAAAAAGUGUAUAUAUUUUCUUAAAAGAAAAAAAUAAUAACUAAAUUUCACCGCGGGUUACCAACUCUAUAUAUACAUCUUCUGUUUCUCUAUUAGGUUCCCAAAGCUCUCCAAAAUCCCUGUGAAAUCGGAUUCCAUAGUCUUCUAAAUCUUCUGGUACGUGACAAAAUUAGGGUUUAAGAUUUUCAACGAGUUAGGGUUAGCGUCACGUUUCUAUACUCGUUUUUAAACGAGUUAGGGUUUACGUCGGCUUCUCUGUACUUUGUUGAUUCUCCAAUUUGCUUUCAGUGAUUAUUGUGUUGCGCUUUGUUUUCUCUCUUGGG